UCGCGUUUAAAGGAGCCGUUUCUCGCACUAAAGUCGAGUGUCUAAUGUCGUUUCCUCGUCACAAACACGAACACACACACACACACACACACCUGGAGCUUGUGUUUUGUUUAACACACAAACCUGCUCCACUGUGUUUUUAAACUCCACACACUUUCACUAGAAUCAUUUGGAUCAUUUCAGACCUGGAGUCGCCGAUUUCUACUGAACUAAAGGAAAAAGGAGCUGUUCACUCGGCUUCAGAUCUAAACCAGGUCUAAACUGGGUCUAAAUUGGGUCUAAACUGGAUCUAAACCAGGACUGGACUAGAUCUGAUCUAAACCAGGUCUAAACUGGGUCUAAACCAGGUCUAAAAAGAACUGAACCCACUCUGAUCUAAAUCAGAACUAAACCAGGUCUAAACCAGGUCUAAACCAGGACUAAACCAGGACUAAACUAGAUCUGAUCUAAACCAGGUCUAAACCCGAACUAAACCAGGACUAAACUAGGUCUUAAUUGGGUCUAAAUUGGGUCUAAACCAGGACUGAACCUGUGUUUUUUAAACUCCACACACCUUCACUAGAAUCAUUUGGAUCAUUUCAGUCCUGGAGUUGCCCGAUCUCGACUGAACUAAAAAUAAAAGGAGUUGUUCACUUGAAAAAUACCACUUCAUGACAUCACAAGGUGGAGCAGAGCGUUUGAUGCUUUGUAGAUGUAAACAGACUCAUAAUAAAGAGUUAAACAAACAAACACAACUCCAGCUCUGAUUGUGACGAGGAAACAUUUUAGUGUCAUACAGAUUUUUACCUGUGUAGUGUUGAUGUUGACUGUGAUUCCGUGUGUCCCUCGUG